GGAAGGAUCAUUACCGAGAUUUUUUCAUGGACUUGUUUUAUGAAAUCUCCCACCCUUUGUGUUACCAAAUAUUAUUACUUUGGUGAAGCGUGUCUUGUUUUUCCCUCUCUUGGGGGAAAAAGAAAACCCAUCGGCUCUUUAUUGAGUGGGUGUGUUCUUCACCAAAGGAACCAUUAACUCUUUUUAUAUCAAUUGUCUGAGUUUAUAUUUUAAAUAAACAAAACUUUCAACAACGGAUCUCUUGGUUCUGGCAUCGAUGAAGAACGCAGCGAAAUGCGAUAAGUAAUGUGAAUUGCAGAAUUCAGCGAAUCAUCGAAUUUUUGAACGCACAUUGCGCCUGAGAGUAUUCUUUCAGGCAUACCUGUUCGAGCGUCGUUUAGACCAUAAGGCUUUGCCUUGCGUUGAAAUGCUGGAGUGAUCCAGCUUUCUAAACCUGUUGGCGUCGUAGUUUGACCAAGACACAGCACAAUGUGACACUGGAUAUCAAUACUAGAACGACAGCUCAUCACCCACGACUUGUUUUUCGCAAGAAAAACGUAGGUUCGACCUCGGAUCAGGUAAGACUACCCACUGAACUUAAGCAUAUCAAUAAGUGGAGGAAAAGAAACCAACAGGGAUUGCCUCAGUAACGGCGAGUGAAGCGGCAAAAGCUCAAAUUUGAAAUCUGGUCCUAGACCCGAGUUGUAAUUUGUAGAGGAAUGUUCGGCGACGCCUAGGUCUGAGUCUUCUGGAAGGAAGCGCCUUUGAGGGUGAGAGCCCCGUAGGACUGAUGGCUGAACCAUGUGUACAUCCUUCGACGAGUCGAGUUGUUUGGGAAUGCAGCUCAAAACGGGUGGUAAAUUCCAUCUAAAGCUAAAUAUUGGCCAGAGACCGAUAGCGCACAAGUAGAGUGAUCGAAAGAUGAAAAGCACUUUGGAAAGAGAGUGAAACAGUACGUGAAAUUGUUGAAAGGGAAGCGCUAGCGACCAGAUUUGGAAAUGACGUUCAGCGGUUCGCGUGGACCGUGUACUUCGUCUUUUACUUGCCAGCAUCAGUUUUCGGGGUUGGAUAAAAGCUUUGGGAACGUAGCUCUGCUUCGGUCGAGUGUUAUAGCCCUUUGCACAAUACAGCCACUGAAGACUGAGGAACGCCUUUUUGUAGGAUGCUGGCGUAAUGGUUGCUAGCGGCCCGUCUUGAAACACGGACCAAGGAGUCUAACAUCCGUGCGAGUGUUUGGGUGUCAAACCCGCUCGCGAAAUGAAAGUGAACGUUGGUGAGAGUCUGUAAAAAGAUGCAUCAUCGACCGAUCCUGAUGUCCUCGGAAGGAUUUGAGUAAGAGCACGGCUGUUGGGACCCGAAAGAUGGUGAACUAUGCGUGAAUAGGGCGAAGCCAGAGGAAACUCUGGUGGAGGCUCGCAGCGGUUCUGACGUGCAAAUCGAUCGUCGAAUUUGCGUAUAGGGGCGAAAGACUUAUCGAACCAUCUAGUAGCUGGUUCCUGC
rnacentral:misc_RNA from 1 species